rnacentral:misc_RNA from 1 species
GGCGACCUUAACUUCUUCUACUCUGCAACUCACAAAAUCAAACCCUUUCUUCUCAAAAUCUCCUCUCAAAUUCCACGCGCCGUCGUACUCUUCCUUCACUGUACGCGCCACCACUGAAGAAUCUUCACCUUCCGACACAGACGAACAAACCACCGUCGAUUCAUCCUCCGAUCCCGACAGUUUCGAGAAUCGGCUCUCCCAAGUCCGUCUCCGGUACCGUAGUGGAACAGGGAAGAAAGCGGAGGUGCGAAAAACUCGAAAGGGCAAAAAAGGUUCAUCUGGAUCCGGAUCCGGGUCGAGCGUGUUUCUCCCACCAAUUCCUCUAAAGGAACCUGUUUCCGAAGGUUUACCCGUUGAAUUCGGGUUUAGUCUGUUUUCGGAACGGGUCAAUGGACGGAUCGCCAUGCUUGGAUUAUCCGCAUUGCUGUUGGUGGAGCUUGCAACAGGUAAGAGUGUAAUUAAUUAUCAUACGCCGGCGAUUGUGUUCAUUCAGGUUUAUUUUGUCGCCGCCGUAGCGGCGGUGUAUUUGAAGAAUGAGAAAGAGAAAGUUAGCGUUUGGCCUAAAUAGUUGAGCUGCCAUUGUUGAAUUCUCUGAGAUUUUUUUUUGAAUUGGAUGUCUGUAUGAUAAACUUCUCACAGUUUGUUUUAUUUUAGUAUAUAUCUUAUUGUCUC